UGGGGGAUUUUGCACAAUGGGCGCAAGCCUGAUGCAGCGACGCCGCGUGAGGGAUGAAGGCCUUCGGGUUGUAAACCUCUUUCGCUGGGUUGAAAGGCCAUGCUUUGGGUGUGGUUGAUUUGAACUGGUAAAGAAGUACUGGCUAACUACGUGCCAGCAGCCGCGGUAAUACGUAGGGUACUAGCGUUGUCCGGAUUUAUUGGGCGUAAAGGGCUGGUAGGUGGUUUGUCGCGUCGGUCGUGAAAUCCUGUGGCUUAACCAUGGACUUGCGGUGGGUUCGGGCAGGCUUGAGUGCGGUAGGGGGGACUGGAAUUCCUGGUGUAGAGGUGAAAUGCGCAGAUAUCAGGAGGAAAACCGGUGGCGAAGGCGAGUCUCUGGGCAGAUACUGACACUGAGGAGCGAAAGCGUGGGGAGCGAACAGG
rnacentral:rRNA from 1 species